rnacentral:lncRNA from 1 species
UUAGCCUGAGGAUAGCUCAGAGCCCAGCAAGGAGGGCUGGGAUUCACACUGAGCACGUGUGUCUGCCUCGGCUUGGGCUGUUUUCUGGGAUGGACUACCUGAAAUUCAUCAGGUCCACAUCCAUAUGUGUGAAAGUGCAUGAGGAGGACAUGGAAUGAUGCCACAUAUCUUGCUACAAAUAUGUAUAAACAGUUGCGAUCAAGGCUAAAAACAAGAUUUGGACAAAUUUGAACUCAAAAGAAUCCACUACUUCAAACAUAAAAAGAAUCAUAUACCAUGAUAGUGAGGAUUUCUGGACCUAGAUAAUUAGGACUGAAAAGAAAGAGGCCUGGCCAAAGAAGAAUAAAAGAGUGUGGGCAAUGGGAAAAUCUGACCUGGAAGUAGGUCAGGUCCAAAACAAAUAGAGAUAUGGGCCUAGGCCUAUUCCUGCCCCAGAAGAGGCCCAGGCCAAAAGCAAAAACUGAUGUGGCCCUGUACCUGUCCCUGAACCUUGAAGAGGCCUGGACCAAAAGCAAGAAGUGAUGUCGACCUGGGCAAAUCCCUGACCUUUGAAGAGACCUGGCAUAAAGAAAGAAGUAAUAUGGGCUUGGGCCUAUACAUAACUUUGAGAGGCCCGGGCCAAAAGCAAGAAUUGAUGAGGGACUGGAUCUAUCCCUGACCCGUGAAGAGGCCCAGGCCAAAAUCAAGGAGUGUUGUGUGAUCCCAUACAAUUGAAGAGGGCUGGGCAGAAAAUAAAAUGAUGUGGGCUUGGACCUCACCCUAACCCUUGAAGAGGCUGGGGCUAAAAGCAAAAUGUGAUGUGGGCCUGGGCCUAUCCCUGACCUUUGAAGAGGCCCUGGCCUAAAGAAUGAAGUGAUGUGGGCCUGGGCCUAUGCCUGACCCUUGAAGAGGCCUGGGCAAAAAGGAAGAAGUGAUGUGGGCCAGGUCCUAUCCCUGAUGCUUGAAGAGGCCUGGGCCAAAAGAAAGAGGUGAUGUGGGCCUGGGACUAUACCUAAAUUUGAGAGGCCUGGGCCAAAAGCAAGAACCGAUGAGGGCCUGGACCUUUCCCUGAGGCUUGAAGAGGCCUGGGUCAAAAGCAAAAUGUGAUGUGGGCCUGUACCUAUCUUGACAUUUGAAGAGGCCCGGGCCGAAAAAUAAAAAGUGAUGAGGGCCUGGGCCUAUCCCUGACCCUUGAAGAGGCCCAGGCCUAAAGAAAGAAGAGAUGGGGGCCUGGGCCUAUCCUUGAAGUUUGAAGAGGCCUGGGUCCAAAACAAGAAGUGAAGAGGGCCUGGGCCUAUGUCUGACCCUUGAAGAGCCUUGGGACAAAAGAAGUGAUGGGGGAAUUGGCCUAUCCCAGACACUUGAAGAGGUCUGGUCCUAAAGAAAGAAGUGAUAUGUGCCCGGGCCUAUUCCUGAACAUUGAAGAUCCCGGGCCAAAAGCAAGGAGUGAUGUGGGCCUGGGCCUAUCCCUGAAAUUUAAAGUGGCCUGGGCCUAAUGCAAUACAGGAAGGGGCCUGGGCCUAUGCCUGACACUUGAAGAGGCCUAGGCCUAAAGAAAAAAGUGACCUAUGAAGAGGCCCGGGCAAAAAGCAAGAAGUGAUGUGGGCCUGGGCCUCUACCUACCUUUGAGAGGCCUGGGCCAAAAGCAAGAAUUGAUGAGGUUCCUGGCCUUUCCCUGACCUGUGAUGAGGCCCAGGCUAAAAGUAAGGAAUGAUGUCAUCCUCAGCCUAUCCUAGACCAUUGAAGAGGCCCAUGCCCCAAAACAAAGUUAUGUGGGCCUGGGCCUACCUGAUCCUUGAAGAGGCCUGGGCCUAAAGAUAGAAGUGAUGUGGGUCUGGGCCUAUCCAUGACAUUUAAAGAGUCCUGGGCCCAACACAAGAAGUGAUGAGGGCCUGGGCCUAUCCCUGAUCUGUGAAGAGGCCCAGGUUAAAAGUAAGGAUUGAUGUGGGCAUGGGCCUAUCCCAGACCAUUGAAGAGGCCCAGACUGUAAAACAAAAAGUGAUGGGGGCCUGGGCCUAACCCUGACCCUUGAAGAGGCCUGGACCUAAAGCAAGAAGUGAUGGGGGGCUGGGUCUAUCCAUGAAGUUUGAAGUGGCCUGGGCCUAAAGAAAAAAGUGAUGUGGGCAUUGUCUUCUCCCUGACCCUUGUGAUUCCCGGGCCUAAAGAAAGAAGUUAUAUGUUCUCGGGCCUAUUCCUGAACAUUAAAGAGGCCCAGGCCAAAAUGAAUAAGAGAUGAGAUCUGGGCCUAUCCCUGACCCUUGAAGAGGCCCGGGCCAAAAGGAAGAAGUGAUAUGGGCCUGGGCUUAUCCCAGACAAUUGAAGAGGCCCGGGCUGAAAAACAAAAAGUGAAGUGGGCCUGGGCCUACCUGUGACCCUUGAAGAGGCUGGAGCUAAAAGGAAGAAGUUAAAGUGCCUGAUCCUAUCCCUGAAGUCUGAAGAGGCCCGGGCCUAAAGAAAGAAGUGAUAUGUGCCUAGGCCUGACAUUUAGAGAGGCCUGAGCCCAACACAAGAAGUGAAGAGUGCCUGGGCCUAUGCCUGACCCUUGAAGAGACGCGGGAAAAUAGCAAAAAGUGAUGUGGGCCUGGGCCUCUACCUAACUUUGAGAGGCCUGGGCCAAAAGAAAGAAGUGAUGUGGGCCGGGGCCUAUCCCUGACAUAUGAAGAGGCUGGGCCACAAGAAAGAAGUUAAAGUGCCUGGUCCCUUCCCUGAAGUUUAAAUGGCCUGGACCUAAAGAAAAAAGUGGACAGAGCCGCUGAGGCAGCACCCUUGGCGGGCCGCAGACAGCCGGCCACCGUCGGGACCAGAGGACAGGUGUCCGCCUGGCUUGGGAGGUGGCCUCAGCCUCAGGAGCAGCGGUCGCCAUCUUGGUUCCGGGACUCACGGAAUGUAUGCAUACAGUAUCCCUCCUCAUUGCUGGGCUGUCAGACAUGACAAUCAGAAGCAUUAGCCCAUCCAGGACAACUUCAACUCUAAAAGACACUUAGUUCCCCAGACAGUCUCUGCAGAUUCGCUCAGGAGAAUGACACCUUCAGACUGCAGCCUGGCACUAGGUCAACAUCAGCAUCAGUGAUGCUUGGCCUCCUCCCUCUUCUCUCUUUUCUUUCUUCCUCCACUGGUAACUACAGUAAGACCUUAGAAUAUGUCAGAGCAUAACAAUCCUGUUCAACCCCCUCCAGGGCUAUCUCAGAGCAAACCUCUCCCCCGCUGUGCACUACCCCUGACGAUGGUGCCCUCGGUCUUUAAUGCAUUAGGAGAGCUCCCACCUUAGGGGUUGGCCUUCACAGUGGUCCAAUUCCUUAGGAUCUCUCCCUCCAGGUGCCUGUGCACUCCACCACAACAACUAUCAUUCGGAGGGUAGUUUGCCACUUCUGCGGCCUUGCCUCAGGCUGGUUGCUGAGCCUGGUGGUUUCUUCAGGUUUGAACUACAGCUGCUGUUUCAUCCCUGGUGUCUGCCUGCCGAGAGAGGACUGCUCUGUAGCUGCAGAAGAAGAAAGAGCUCACCCACAAAGAACCAUUGCUGAACAGGGCCACUUCCCCCACAUCUUAAUAACUUUUCUCUUCUCUUACCUCUGCUGGAUGGUAGGCUAGAGGGGAGAUUGAACUCUUAUUAAAAGUAGGUUGUAAAAAUUUAUGACAACACCCACUUUUCCUGCGACGAUGGAUGGUACCCUCAAACUAAGCCAAAGUAAACCCUGGUUUUGUUCUUUUUUUUCAGGUAUUAUGACCAGGGUCCUGACUUGCCCAUCUAUUCUUAGGCAGAAAGGCCACUGUGAAGAGCACUCUAUGUCCCAGAUUGUUGUGCUCCUUCGGAAGGGGCUGAUAACUGUUAAUAGAAUGGAAUUCCAUAUAUAAUCUCUGUGUGGUCUCUGCUCAGUCAAUGUAUCUGAGCUCAGUUCCGCCAUCCAUAAAGUCAGCUUCAUAAUAACAGCCCUUCACUCCACUCUGUGGUCAUUUAAACAAUUAUGUCUUGGACAGCUCCGGGCUGGCCUUCUGGUAUCCGCUCCUCCCCUGCCGCCGUGAACCAGGCAUUCCUCCUCCUGGCUUGCUGACCUUCGCUGAUUUUACUUGGAGCUAUUAUCCCAAUUGCCUGAGCCUUGGCUGACAUCUGGAUGUAUUUUAUAACAGACUGUUUUCAUAAUUCCCCAGAAAAGUUCUCAGGAUUAAUACUUGUUUAUUUUCAUCUUCCAUUGGACCUUAAAUAAAUCGGCAGUGCUCCUCAGUGACACACGGAAGCAGAGCAUGUCCUCAGAGGAUACAUCGUGAGUCUGGUCACAUCAGGAGAAGCAAGCAGGCUGUAUCCACUGCUUGACCUGGAAUAGAACACCUAACAAAAACAAUUCAAGAAAAGAGAGCACAGAGCCUUGUAUGGUGGCUGGAGCAAGCCUUUGAUCUCACCUCUUGGGAGGCGGAGACAGGCAGAUCUAGUGCUCUACAAGUCAACAAUUGCAGGCUACACUAAGGAUAGAACACAUGGCGAGGAUAAUGAAAGCCAGACCUGAGCUGACUAAAGGAAGGGGUGAAAAGACGAACGCUCCGUGUUGCGUAAGCAGACAGAUCCUGGUGUGCAGCUCCACAGCACAUGCUGGCAGUGGAAUUCCUCACGGGGGAGCACCUCCCUUCCUAUCUGCAUUCAAUAAAGAUAGUUCUCCC